UGCAUAGUAACAUAUAACUUUCGUGUCUCAGGCACUUGAUUGUGCCAAAUCAGAUCCGGAGAAGACUAAGAAAGUUGGGACUAAAACAUCCUUUAAGCGACUGAGCCUAAAGGAUUCUCGGAGCAAUUCAAAUUCAAAGGCUUCAGCCAGUUGGAGAUAAUUUUUAUGGUUAAUUUUGGAGGUAACCUUGAAAACUUAGAGCUCUACACAUUUGCAUCGAAUAGCUUCAGCUCCAGAUUUUGACAAAUUGUACCUGGCACGUCAUUUCAUGUGGUUGCUCAACUUCCAGAAAGGUGCAAUUUUAUUAACUUUUUCUAUCAAUCGUUCUGGCUAUCAUGUACGAGUUUCAUGCCCAUGGAGUUGAAAGCUGAGCAGAUCAAAUGCUCCAUUUUUAUUUUUAUUUUUUUUCUUUUUCCUUUUCUUUUUCAUAGUCUUGAAGUUAGGUAUAUUUUGUCAUUUAUCUUGUGAGAAACUGAUUCUUGUAGUUGAUACUAAUUGAAAUUAGAAUUCUUUAUCAUAUGCUAGUUGGUGUUGGCAUAGUGUCAAUGGUCCUCUACGUCUGAUGACUUUGAAAGCUGUUUGUACAAUGUAGUUUUUGAGAUAGGACAUUAUGGUUCAGUUU